UUUUCUAUGAUUAAUGGCUCCCCCUUUCUUCCUUUGGCUCGCUGCUGACGACUCCGACGACGACUCCAACCGCUCCUCACAGCGACCCACCGAUCACAUCUCACUCCAAACGCGCAGCUCCCAUCUCCACGGUUCGAUUUCUCAUGCCGGCCCCUAUGUGGAUUUCUUGAUGUCUCUGGAAAGGGGUAUGGGGAUUCUUGUUCGAUCGUUAUCCGGAUCCAAGUCGUGGAUUUCUCUAUUAAAAUUCGGAUUUUGAAUCUCGUGCUUCGUUAAGGUGUUGAAAGGAGCAGAUUUGGGGAUUCGGCGAGGAGACCGGUCGGGGCGUUGGCGUCCUUUUAGGCGUUGCACUUGAAAACGAUUGGAUUUGGGGUUUUGAGAUGCAAGUUGUCGAUAUUUUGGACGAAGUUUGAGAUUUUGGGAGUGGGAGUUGUCCCAGAUCUGAAGGGCCGGGACUGAGCUGUGAGGAAUUUCAUGGAUAAAAUUUGCUGCUUUCUUGCAGGUCCGUCAUUGACUGUUGGUAAAGGUAAGAACUCAAAAGGUCAAACCAGGAUUAGCUAUGGUUUUAGUCUACUAAAAGGAUCAGCGGAUCAUCCUAUAGAGGAUUAUCAUGUGGCCAAAUUCAUAUGUAUGAGAGAUCAAGAACUGGGUCUAUUUGCUGUUUUUGACGGGCAUUUAGGAGAUAGUGUUCCAGCCUACUUACAGAAGCAUUUAUUUGCUAAUAUUUUGGAGGAGGAUGAAUUUUGGGCCCAUCCUGAGACAGCCAUCAGAAGGGCCUAUGAAAAGACUGACAUUGAGAUACUUUCUCAUAGUCGUGAUUUGGGGAGAGGUGGAUCCACUGCAGUCACUGCAAUCCUUGUAAAUGGCACCAAAUUAUGGGUAGCCAAUGUGGGUGAUUCACGAGCUGUUCUUGCAAAGCGCGGAGAGAUUAUUCAAAUGUCAACAGAUCAUGAGCCAAAUUCUGAACGAGAGAGUAUUGAAACAAGGGGUGGUUUUGUUACUAAUAUGCCAGGUUAGACAUCUUUUGCAGGACUUGUUUAGUUAUACCUCAUGGGUAGCAAUAUUUUAAAAAUAACAAAUUGAUUUGCAUAUAUUUCCUCUCUUUUAAUUCAAAAUAAAGUGAAGGCUGUAUAGUCUAAUGUUUGUUCAAAUUCAUUUUCCUUGCUUAAGAUGUUUACCACUGUCCGUAACUUGUUGAAGGUUUUCAACAACAUAGUGAAGCAUUCAGUGAAGAUCUUCAAGACUCUCAAACAUUCUACUGGAUUUUUUUUUCAAACUCUUGGUUAUUCUUAACUGUCAUAUUUGUUAUUUCUCAAAAUUUUAAUUUUAUUUUAUGUACAUGUAUGUAUAUUGACGUUUGCUGAAUGAUGAUGCACUAUAAAUUACAUAGUCUUCUGAGUUCUGAUGAACUUCGAAGACAUGUUGGAACAAUGCUCUAUGUUAUCUUACUGCUUUCAGCUUUAAUCCGUUUACCCUUAUUACUUCUACUAAUUACGAUGUUCCUAGUUGAUUCUUAUGUUUUUGAAAUAAAAUAAGAAAGAAAAAAGACAACAUUGUGCUCGUGACACUACUGAGAUGCAUAUAAUCCAUAAUGAGUUAUAUGAUGACUUGUGGACUAUGAAGACAACUGUUUUCUUUCUUUCUGUAGUCCAAUUAUCCAGUGAUGGAAGCACUCAAAAAUACACUACUGUUGCAUAUCAACGUUGAAUUUCUCUUGAACUCGUGUAAUAAAUUCAUACAACACAAACUGUGGAUAUUAAGAGGCAUAGGAUUGUCCACAAUAUUCCCCUCGAGUAGAUAAACCAUUUGAAUUAUCAUUGAUUCAAUCAAUAUGGCUGAGUAGAAUUGGUUUAUUAACUUUUUUAGAUCAAACCAAUGGUCUAAAAUAUUUAAGCUUAUGGUGAUAAUAGUUCAAUCAUUAAGGUUUAUAAAACUUCCAUUGGCCCAUGUGUGACUAAAGUAGGUGUCUUUAAUUCAACAUUCUUCCAGAUGAGAGAUCCCUACAACUUAAUAAGUCCAAAUACUGACCUAAUAAUAGUUCAAUUAUCUAAUUUUAUAAAUCCCUUCAUCAGCUGCAACUCUUGAUUGGAACUAUUAACUUUGUAAGGCUGAACCACCGUCCAAAUUUUUAGGCUCAGACUAACAGUAAACAGUCAAAUAAGCUUAUUAGCCUCCAUUAGCCUACCACCCUGAAUUUGAAACUAAAGUAGUAUGCUAAAACUUAAAUCUUAAGGAGCAAUGUUAGAAUCAUCAUGCUCUAAAUAUUUGUAGGUUAAAUCAUGAGGAACCGUACAAGAUGUAGUAUGGCAACAUACUUUGUUCAAGAGGAAAAGUGUCUAAGAUUUAUGCUCUAAAUAUCUGUUGCUUAAAGCAUGAGGAACCAACCUCUGAACCUUUUGAUUCAUGAGGUCUCUUUUGUGCACAUUUUCUCAACAUUGAAAGUAACUUGGUCCAAUUAAAAGUGGCUCUGCAGAUUUUAUCUUCCUGUUGGCGGCAUGUCAUUUCUACUAUUCGAAAGUUGGUAUAUUUACAUUUUACAAUAAUUUGGCCAAACUUGUGGUUGGCAAAUUUCAUCAGCAUGUUAUCUUGCUUACAAAAGAGAAUUCAGCAGGUUGUUAAUGACCUUUCUUGACGACUAAUAACAACUUUGUUAUUAUCAUUAUUAGACGAUUAACUAGAUUGCUGCCAUGAAUCUCAGGAGACUGUGCCAGAGUUAACGGGCAACUAGCCGUUUCACGGGCUUUUGGGGACAAGAACCUCAAAACACUUAUAAGAUCAUAUCCUGAUGUACAAGUUCAAGAUACAAACUCUGAAACAGAGCUGCUCAUCCUCGCUAGUGAUGGCCUCUGGAAGGUUAUGAGCAAUGAAGAGGCUGUUGAUCUCGCCAGAAGAAUCAAGAAUCCACUGGCAGCAGCUAGGCGGUUGACUUUGGAAUCCUUCCACAGAGGAAGUAAAGAUGACAUAUCAUGCAUUGUUAUUCGAUUCAAGUGAUAGACUUCACUCAAACAUGGAAGAAGAUGGUUAUAUAAUGGUUGAAUUUGUUAAAAAAAAAAGAAGAGAAAUUGUACAACUACUCGCAAUAAGGUCCAAGUUUCUUAAGGCUCAGCUGCUCGUUGUGAAAGUUGUAUACCCUUAUAUGCUCUCGACCAUAUAUUGCUGUAUAUAAAUGUUGGCGUUCUGUAAAUUUCUGAUACAAAUCAAGAACUCCCUGUAAGUGAACUCCCUUUGGUAAAUCCUUUGAAGUUUUCAGAUGAUCAAGAAAAUAGUUAUUCCAUAAUACGAAGGCGACUGCAAAUGCUUGCGAUCGCCGCAGCUGCACUUCCACCCCAACGGCUUGUAAUUGGAGUACUUGUCGAUGGGCAACGAACAGCCAUCCCUCGGCCGCGACCCGGCCGGCGGCGCCGGGUCCUGCACCGCUGUGCAUGGGGUGCACU